AUUGAACGCUGGCGGCAGGCCUAACACAUGCCAGUCGAGCGGAUGAAGGGAGCUUGCUCCUGGAUUCAGCGGCGGACGGGUGAGUAAUGCCUAGGAAUCUGCCUGGUAGUGGGGGAUAACGUCCGGAAACGGGCGCUAAUACCGCAUACGUCCUGAGGGAGAAAGUGGGGGAUCUUCGGACCUCACGCUAUCAGAUGAGCCUAGGUCGGAUUAGCUAGUUGGUGGGGUAAAGGCCUACCAAGGCGACGAUCCGUAACUGGUCUGAGAGGAUGAUCAGUCACACUGGAACUGAAACACGGUCCAGACUCCUACGGGAGGCAGCAGUGGGGAAUAUUGGACAAUGGGCGAAAGCCUGAUCCAGCCAUGCCGCGUGUGUGAAGAAGGUCCUCGGAUUGUAAAGCACUUUAAGUUGGGAGGAAGGGCAGUAAGUUAAUACCUUGCUGUUUUGACGUUACCAACAGAAUAAGCACCGGCUAACUUCGUG
rnacentral:rRNA from 1 species